UUGGUUAAUUGGUUGCUUGAGUGAUUAGAAGUGGGCUUGAAUGGUUGGUUGCUCGAUUGGUUAGCUAAUUUGGUUGCUUGGUUAGUUGAUUAUCCCAAGUAACCAUGAAGCUAUAUAUGCUUGUAAAAAACACAGCCCUAAAAGUUGACUUUAAGUGGAAAAAGGCAAUAAGACCGAAAUAAUGGUUCAUUACUUUGACAUGUUGAAAUAAAGCAUCAGUAAUGCAUCGCUGCAUUCGUAACGCUGAUUUAGAGUAUCGUUGUCCGACAGUUGAUAAAUAAAUGCAACUUCACAUCGUUAAAACUGAUCAAAUGCAAUUAGCAUUUAGCGUGCUGACUUGUGAUUUAUAUAUGUGCAAUAUUGUAAUGCUUGGUGUUACUUGGCAUAGUAGUUUUAUUGAUUGGUGAAUUGUGAAUGCUGAAUUCAUUGGUUGCUUGAUUGGUUAAUUAGUUGGUUGAUUUAUUGAUUGCUUGGUUGAUUGGUAGCUAGCUUGAAAGGUUGGUUGCUUGAUUGGUAGGUUAAAAGAUUGAUUAGUUACUUUAUUGGUUGAUUGGUUUUGUUGUUCGUUGCUUGGAAGGUUGAUUGGGUAGCUUGAUUGAUUGCUUGAUAGGAAUCCUCGAGGGAUGCAUACGGGAGUGUUUAGCGAUGCUGACAGGAAUUCACCAGCGAUGCCCUCAAGAAUCUGCCAGCAUUGCGCGCACGAUGCCCAUAGAAAUACACCAAUGAAGUCCACAGCAGUCCGCCAGCGAUGCCCACAGGAUUCCGCCCACGAUGCUCACAAGGAUCUGCCAGCGAUGCCCGCAGGAUGCUAACAGGAAUUCACUAACGACUAACGAUGCCCUCAGAAAUUCGCCCGCGAUGCCCACAAGAAUCCAUUAGCGCUGUGAACAUGUGUCCGCCAUCAAUGCCUACAAGAAUCUGCCAGCGAUGCCCGCAGGAUGCUGAUAGAUAUUCACCAACGAUGCCUACAUGAAUUCGCCAACGCUGUGAAUAAGAAUCCACCAGCAAUGCAAACAGGAGUCCGCCAGCGAUGCCCACGAAAAUCCGCCUGUGAUGCCCACAGGAAUCCGCGAGGAAUCUACCAACGAUGCCCACAGGUAUUGGUAUGGCAGCGGUUCUCAACCUGGGGUACAUGUACCCCUGGGGGUACCUUCGUUGGCCCCAGGGGGUACCUCGGACAAGAAUGCGUAAUGGCGGCUGUAUUACAAUUCCAAUCAAAUCUUAUUGAUGAAGUUUUGAUAAUUGUAUAUUUUUUUUAUUUCAAAACUAUGUUUUGUACAUAAUAUGCAUGACGAUUAGUAAAACAAUGAAUUUCUAUGCAACAUAUCUAUUCAAGAUGUUCGGAAGCCUCUUUUCAAGUGGCUAGAAAGUCGCCUUUCAAGAGGUUCGGAAGUUUCCCUUCAAAAUGCUCGGAAGCCUCCCUUCAAGAGGCUCGGAAGCCUCCUUUCAAGUGGCUCGAUAGGCUCAUUUCAGGAGGCUUGGGAGGCUGCUGUCAAGCGAGUCGAGAGGCUGCUUUCAAGAGGCUUGGAAGCUUCCUUUUAAGAAGCUCGGAAUUCUUCUUUCAAGGGAAGAUCCAUUAAUUACGUAACGCGAAAAUUGAACAUUUUCAACCCCCCCUCCCCCCUAUGUCACACUUUUUGUAUGAAUCAUCUGAAUCAUCUGAAUCAUCUCUAGGCGUGACGUAAUUUGUGGAUGCUCCCCAAGGGGCUUGGAAGCGUACUUUCAAAAUGCUCAGGAGCCUCCUUUCAAGUGGCUCAAAAGCUGCUUUUAAAAAGGCUCUGAAGGCUCAAGAUGCUCGGGAGCAUUCAUUCAAGAUACUUAGAAGCUUACUCUCAAAACAAGCGAUGCCUACUUUCAAGAGGCACGGAAGGGUCCUUUCCAAAGGCUCGUAAGCUUCAUUCCAAGAGGCUUUUGAGUCUCCUUUCAAGAGGCUUGAAAACUUCCCUACGACGACUUUCAAGAGGCUCAGAAGCAUCGUUUUAAGAUGCUCAGAAUCCUCAUUUCAAGAGGAUUGGUAGCCUUUUUUCAAGAGGCUCGAAAGCUUCACUUCAAGAAGCACGAAAUUUUUCUUCCAAAAGACUUGGAAGCGUACUUUUAUAUGCUUGGAAGCCACCCUCAAAAGGCUCGAAAGGUGCCUUUCAAGAGGCACGAAAGCUUCCUUUCAAGCGGCUCGUAAGCUUUCCUUCAUGAGACACGAAAAUCUUCUUUCAAGAGCCUUGGAAGCGUACUUUUAAGGGGCUCAUAAUCCUGCUUGUAAGUGGCUCGAAAGCUGCUUUCAAGAGGCACUGCAGUCUCUCUUCAAGAGGAUCGGAAGCCUCCUAUGAAGAGCCUUUUGAAGUCCCUUUUAAAGAGCUCGAGAGCCGUCUUUCAAGAGACCCGGAAGCCUCCCUUCAACAGGCUUGGAAGCCUCCCUUCGAGAGGUUCGAAAGCCUCCUUUCAAGAUGCUCGGAAGCCUCUUUUCAAGAGGCUGGGAAGUUUCCGUUGGAGAGGUUCGGAAUUAUUCUUUAAAAAAAAGCUUGGAAGCAUCCUUUCAAAAAGCUCAGAAACCUCAUUUUAAGUGGCUCGAAAACCACCUUUCAAGAGGCUCAGAAGCCUUCUUAUAAUAGGCUUGAAAGCCUCCCUUCAAGAUGCUCGGAAGUUUCCAAUAGUCAAAAAAGCUUUGCAGGAAUCUUGAUGUAUACAUUUACCUUGAAUUUGUUUCAGUCAAUUUCAUGGAGAGUCAUAUAUCCAUUUAGUUUUCAGGUUCGUUUUUCAUAUAUCUUAUCUACGCCUUUUUCAUUUAUAGCUAAACAAAUUGGGGGUACCUCAAUUAAUGCAAAAGUUCGAAGGGGUACCUCUCAAGAAAAAGGUUGAGAACCGCUGUGGUAUGGUAUCGGAGCUGAGCUCAUCAAGAUGGGCCCGGAAAAGCUAGCCACUUGACUGCUCAAACUGCCGGAGGAGUGGAAGGAAGAGGUUAUAUACCUCAUCCUUAAGAAAGGCGACAAGCUGCAGUUUGAGAACUUUCAUGCGAUCACUAUUCUUAAUGCCGCCUACAAAGUGGUAUCCCAGAUCAUCUCAUCCCACCAUUAGUGAAUGAGUUCGUGGGAAGUUAUCAAGCCGGUUUCGUAGACGACCGCUCGACAACGGACCAGAUCUGUACUGUACGGCAAAUCCUUCAAAAAUGCCGUGAAAACCAGGUCCCAAUCAGGUUCAUUAAUUUCAAGGCGGCAUACUACAGUAUAGACCGCUUAGAGCUAUGGAAAAUUAUAGACGAGAACAGCUUCCCUGGGAAGCUUACCAGACUGAUCAAAGCAACAGUGGAUGGUGUGCAAAACUGUGUGAAGAUUUCGGGCGAACACUCCAGUUCUUUCGAAUCGCGCCGGAUACUAAGACAAGGUGAUGGACUGUCAUGCGGAGAGCCGGGUGUAACAGCCGGGGUACGAUUUUCAACAGAUCCAGUUCGCAGAUAACAUGGACAUUGUCGGCCGAACAUUUGCAAAGGUGGCCGCCUGCAACGUGAAGCAAUAAAAGUUGGACUGGUGUGGCGCAUCAUCUGUGGAAGUCGGGCCUACUACGGGCUCCAGAAGAAGCUGCGGUCAAAAAAGAUUCGCCACCGCACCAAACGGCACUUGGAGUAUUCGAGAGACGAGUGCUUAGGACCAUCUUUGGCGGUGAAGAAUGAACCACGAGCUCGCCCAGCUCUACGGCGAACCCAGUAUCCAGAAGGUAGCUAAAGCCGGAAGGGUACGAUGGGCAGGGCAUUUUGCAAGAAUGCCGGACAGCCACCCUGCAAAUAUGGUGUUCGCUUCCGAUCCGGCAGGUACAAUACGGCGUGGAGCGCAGCGAGCGAGGUGGGCAGACCAGGUGCAAAACGACUUGGCGAGUGGGGCAAUUAGUUAUUAGUUCCUGGUUAGAGUACUGUGCCAGACAUCUUCUCCUGGGGCAACCAGACGAGCAUGCGAUUCGGCUCGGGCUUGAAGGAGCAGCUGUCGUC